AUGAACGCUGGCGGCGUGCCUAAUCCAUGCAAGUCGAGCGAACAGAUGAGGAGCUUGCUCCUCUGACGUUAGCGGCGGACGGGUGAGUAACACGUGGAUAACCUACCUAUAAGACUGGGAUAACUUCGGGAAACCGGAGCUAAUACCGGAUAAUAUAUUGAACCGCAUGGUUCAAUAGUGAAAGACGGUUUUGCUGUCACUUAUAGAUGGAUCCGCGCCGCAUUAGCUAGUUGGUAAGGUAACGGCUUACCAAGGCAACGAUGCGUAGCCGACCUGAGAGGGUGAUCGGCCACACUGGAACUGAGACACGGUCCAGACUCCUACGGGAGGCAGCAGUGGGGAAUCUUCCGCAAUGGGCGAAAGCCUGACGGAGCAACGCCGCGUGAGUGAUGAAGGUCUUCGGAUCGUAAAACUCUGUUAUUAGGGAAGAACAAAUGUGUAAGUAACUAUGCACGUCUUGACGGUACCUAAUCAGAAAGCCACGGCUAACUACGUG
rnacentral:rRNA from 1 species